rnacentral:rRNA from 1 species
UACGUAGGAGGCAAGCGUUGUCCGGAAUCACUGGGCGUAAAGCGCGUGUAGGCGGAUCGCUAAGUCUGUGGUGAAAGCGCCUGGCUUAACCGGGCGAGGUCCAUGGAAACUAGCGGUCUGGAGGCCGGUAGAGGGGGGUGGAAUUCCGGGUGUAGUGGUGAAAUGCGUAGAGAUCCGGAGGAACACCAGUGGCGAAGGCGGCUCACUGGUCCGGUACUGACGCUGAGGUGCGAAAGCGUGGGGAGCAAACAGG